AUCAAUAAAUGCAUGCGUAUAUCAUUGCAUUUGAUGAAGUUUUUAAUAUGUCGUUCAUUAGUUAAAGUUCCCGCGGUCUCUAACGAUUGGGGGGAGGGGGAGGGGAGCGGCUAGUCAGUCACGCUCUGUUGUGAAGUGCUUGAUCCCUGCGUUAUUACAUCUGUCCUCUGGCCGUCCCUCGCUCCCCAUGGACUCGGCGCUCGUCAGGAUUUUGUUUUUGCGUCACCUCAGCCUUCCAGAAUGUUUGCGAUUCUCACUAGGAUAGCCGGGUGUCGCGGUACCCCGGCCGGCGGCUUCAAGCUUCCCCUGGUUAGUCACCCUCAGGCUCAGGGAAAGUUCAGCCGUGUCCAGCCAUAGGCCUGUGGAGCCGCGAAGGCCGCCGCGGUGCAGGUUCAAGGCCAGAGACCGGUUCCUGGCCACAAUGGACGGCUCGUAACACCCGCCAUGGCCCGCCCGAUUAGCUAUGACCUCACCACCACCACCCACCACCACCACCACCACCGCCGCCGCAUCGCUACCACCUCACCACCGCACCGCUACCACCACUGCUACCACCGCACCACCGCACCGCUACCACACCACCACCAGCAACGCCUCCACCACCACCACCACCACCACCCACCCACCGCACCGCUAACACCUCACCACCACAUGGGCAUAAUCACUACACCACCACCACCACCACCACUACCUACAUCCCUCCCAUAUAUUCUACCACCACCGCUACCUCUAGUCCUCAUCCCUAUUCUACUGUUCUUGUCCUUGUCCCUUCCCUCCACUGCUGUAUAUUCUUCCCAUUCAUCCUUACCAUCCCCAUCCUUUCUAUUACCUCCCUGUAGUAUGUAGGCUAGAGUCUCCUCACACGCCCCUUCUCAUUUAUUUAUUUAUUUAUUUAUAUUUUUUUACAUGUUAAUUCAUUUAUUGCUAUUUUGUACAUCUUUCCUUAAUUAACUUUUGGGGUCAUUUCUUCUCAUUCUACAGCCAUAUUCAUACAUCGUACUGGCUAGAAACUUCAAAAUCUAUGCUUCUUUUUCAUCCCUUUUUUCAUGCUGGUGUUUAUAGAUUUAAUACAUUAGUUUUAAUGGUGUGAAAGUGUUAAGGGA